CCUUCGAUAGCUCAGCUGGUAGAGCGGAGGACUGUAGACUGGAUAGAGAGCAGUGGACAUCCUUAGGUCGCUGGUUCGACUCCGGCUCGAAGGA
rnacentral:tRNA from 1 species